CGGGGAGGGUCAUUGGAAACUGGGGAACUUGAGUGCAGAAGAGGAGAGUGGAAUUCCACGUGUAGCGGUGAAAUGCGUAGAGAUGUGGAGGAACACCAGUGGCGAAGGCGACUCUCUGGUCUGUAACUGACGCUGAGGAGCGAAAGCGUGGGGAGCGAACAGGAUUAGAUACCCUGGUAGUCCACGCCGUAAACGAUGAGUGCUAAGUGUUAGGGGGUUUCCGCCCCUUAGUGCUGCAGCUAACGCAUUAAGCACUCCGCCUGGGGAGUACGGUCGCAAGACUGAAACUCAAAGGAAUUGACGGGGGCCCGCACAAGCGGUGGAGCAUGUGGUUUAAUUCGAAGCAACGCGAAGAACCUUACCAGGUCUUGACAUCCUCUGACAAUCCUAGAGAUAGGACGUCCCCUUCGGGGGCAGAGUGACAGGUGGUGCAUGGUUGUCGUCAGCUCGUGUCGUGAGAUGUUGGGUUAAGUCCCGCAACGAGCGCAACCCUUGAUCUUAGUUGCCAGCAUUCAGUUGGGCACUCUAAGGUGACUGCCGGUGACAAACCGGAGGAAGGUGGGGAUGACGUCAAAUCAUCAUGCCCCUUAUGACCUGGGCUACACACGUGCUACAAUGGACAGAACAAAGGGUAGCGAAACCGCGAGGUUAAGCCAAUCCCACAAAUCUGUUCUCAGUUCGGAUCGCAGUCUGCAACUCGACUGCGUGAAGCUGGAAUCGCUAGUAAUCGCGGAUCAGCAUGCCGCGGGUGAAUACGUUCCCGGGCCUUGUACACACCGCCCGUCACACCACGAGAG
rnacentral:rRNA from 1 species